ensembl:lncRNA
AAAAAGAAUUGGAUUUGCCGUUCAAAUACUUUCAGAGGAGACUGUAUAAAGAUCCUGUGUGUGUGUGUGUGUAUCAUGUGCUGUCGUACGUGCAUUUCUCUCAGUUCAGUUGAAUCAUAAGAUGGUCACGUUACAGGAGCGGCUCGUGAGGACCGGCUAAUCCCACUACAGAAAGAAAGACAGAGCGGAGCAAGAGAGACAGACAGACAGAAGGAGAGACAGACAGACAGAGAGGUCAACUCACCACAAGAGGGCAGCAUGAGCUGAAUUCCUCAGUUUGUUACAGAUAACAUCCCUCUGAGGAGAGAAACACGAGUAGCACAAGCUGGGACAUGACGGAGACUCUUUACACGGCGGCGAGCUGGGGGAGUGACGGUCACACGGCGGCGAGCUGGGGGAGUGACGGUCACACGGCGCGGCCGACACGCGACAGGAAGGAAGGUUGCUAUGGUGAUGAUUGUGCUUGCUUGGUGAUGUUGCUGAUCUGGAAGCGAUGUUAAAAUGCACUUGAUGAGAAGGUAGUUUAUUCCAGGUUCUGAAACUGUUCGGGGUGCACUGAGGAUCAAGUGGAGGUCGAGUAUGAUGUGUAAUUGUGUGCUUUCCCACUCAACGCAGGUGAGAACCCGUCCACUGGAGCGACACGAUCAGAAAUUAAGCUACUCGAAUGUAA